UAUAAUUUUUUGAAACUUUUUAAAGUUUCAAUUCUUUAAAAUAAAUAACCCUAGUAAACAAACCAUUUUAAUUUUGGACACCUCAUAAAUCAAGUUUCAUGCUCAUUCGUAAUCGAAAUCAUUUUGGUCCUUUUUAUAGUAUGGCUCUUAACCAUUAUCCAAUUUUUUUAAGCGAUGUUGGACAUUGUACAAUCGUAAUUAUUAUCCACCCAAACCCGUCCUACUAUAUAACCCAGUCCCGUGAAAUUAAACAUAAUUUUGUCAUUUUCUUAUAAAUUUCAAUAUUAUAAAAUUUGAAACUUA
rnacentral:sRNA from 1 species